GGUUAAGCGACUAAGCGUACACGGUGGAUGCCCUGGCAGUCAGAGGCGAUGAAGGACGUGCUAAUCUGCGAUAAGCGUCGGUAAGGUGAUAUGAACCGUUAUAACCGGCGAUUUCCGAAUGGGGAAACCCAGUGUGUUUCGACACACUAUCAUUAACUGAAUCCAUAGGUUAAUGAGGCGAACCGGGGGAACUGAAACAUCUAAGUACCCCGAGGAAAAGAAAUCAACCGAGAUUCCCCCAGUAGCGGCGAGCGAACGGGGAGCAGCCCAGAGCCUGAAUCAGUGUGUGUGUUAGUGGAAGCGUCUGGAAAGGCGCGCGAUACAGGGUGACAGCCCCGUACACAAAAAUGCACAUACUGUGAGCUCGAUGAGUAGGGCGGGACACGUGGUAUCCUGUCUGAAUAUGGGGGGACCAUCCUCCAAGGCUAAAUACUCCUGACUGACCGAUAGUGAACCAGUACCGUGAGGGAAAGGCGAAAAGAACCCCGGCGAGGGGAGUGAAAAAGAACCUGAAACCGUGUACGUACAAGCAGUGGGAGCCUCUUUUAUGGGGUGACUGCGUACCUUUUGUAUAAUGGGUCAGCGACUUAUAUUCUGUAGCAAGGUUAACCGAAUAGGGGAGCCGAAGGGAAACCGAGUCUUAACUGGGCGUUAAGUUGCAGGGUAUAGACCCGAAACCCGGUGAUCUAGCCAUGGGCAGGUUGAAGGUUGGGUAACACUAACUGGAGGACCGAACCGACUAAUGUUGAAAAAUUAGCGGAUGACUUGUGGCUGGGGGUGAAAGGCCAAUCAAACCGGGAGAUAGCUGGUUCUCCCCGAAAGCUAUUUAGGUAGCGCCUCGUGAAUUCAUCUCCGGGGGUAGAGCACUGUUUCGGCAAGGGGGUCAUCCCGACUUACCAACCCGAUGCAAACUGCGAAUACCGGAGAAUGUUAUCACGGGAGACACACGGCGGGUGCUAACGUCCGUCGUGAAGAGGGAAACAACCCAGACCGCCAGCUAAGGUCCCAAAGUCAUGGUUAAGUGGGAAACGAUGUGGGAAGGCCCAGACAGCCAGGAUGUUGGCUUAGAAGCAGCCAUCAUUUAAAGAAAGCGUAAUAGCUCACUGGUCGAGUCGGCCUGCGCGGAAGAUGUAACGGGGCUAAACCAUGCACCGAAGCUGCGGCAGCGACGCUUAUGCGUUGUUGGGUAGGGGAGCGUUCUGUAAGCCUGUGAAGGUGUGCUGUGAGGCAUGCUGGAGGUAUCAGAAGUGCGAAUGCUGACAUAAGUAACGAUAAAGCGGGUGAAAAGCCCGCUCGCCGGAAGACCAAGGGUUCCUGUCCAACGUUAAUCGGGGCAGGGUGAGUCGACCCCUAAGGCGAGGCCGAAAGGCGUAGUCGAUGGGAAACAGGUUAAUAUUCCUGUACUUGGUGUUACUGCGAAGGGGGGACGGAGAAGGCUAUGUUGGCCGGGCGACGGUUGUCCCGGUUUAAGCGUGUAGGCUGGUUUUCCAGGCAAAUCCGGAAAAUCAAGGCUGAGGCGUGAUGACGAGGCACUACGGUGCUGAAGCAACAAAUGCCCUGCUUCCAGGAAAAGCCUCUAAGCAUCAGGUAACAUCAAAUCGUACCCCAAACCGACACAGGUGGUCAGGUAGAGAAUACCAAGGCGCUUGAGAGAACUCGGGUGAAGGAACUAGGCAAAAUGGUGCCGUAACUUCGGGAGAAGGCACGCUGAUAUGUAGGUGAAGUGAUUUACUCAUGGAGCUGAAAUCAGUCGAAGAUACCAGCUGGCUGCAACUGUUUAUUAAAAACACAGCACUGUGCAAACACGAAAGUGGACGUAUACGGUGUGACGCCUGCCCGGUGCCGGAAGGUUAAUUGAUGGGGUCAGCGCAAGCGAAGCUCUUGAUCGAAGCCCCGGUAAACGGCGGCCGUAACUAUAACGGUCCUAAGGUAGCGAAAUUCCUUGUCGGGUAAGUUCCGACCUGCACGAAUGGCGUAAUGAUGGCCAGGCUGUCUCCACCCGAGACUCAGUGAAAUUGAACUCGCUGUGAAGAUGCAGUGUACCCGCGGCAAGACGGAAAGACCCCGUGAACCUUUACUAUAGCUUGACACUGAACAUUGAGCCUUGAUGUGUAGGAUAGGUGGGAGGCUUUGAAGUGUGGACGCCAGUCUGCAUGGAGCCGACCUUGAAAUACCACCCUUUAAUGUUUGAUGUUCUAACGUUGACCCGUAAUCCGGGUUGCGGACAGUGUCUGGUGGGUAGUUUGACUGGGGCGGUCUCCUCCUAAAGAGUAACGGAGGAGCACGAAGGUUGGCUAAUCCUGGUCGGACAUCAGGAGGUUAGUGCAAUGGCAUAAGCCAGCUUGACUGCGAGCGUGACGGCGCGAGCAGGUGCGAAAGCAGGUCAUAGUGAUCCGGUGGUUCUGAAUGGAAGGGCCAUCGCUCAACGGAUAAAAGGUACUCCGGGGAUAACAGGCUGAUACCGCCCAAGAGUUCAUAUCGACGGCGGUGUUUGGCACCUCGAUGUCGGCUCAUCACAUCCUGGGGCUGAAGUAGGUCCCAAGGGUAUGGCUGUUCGCCAUUUAAAGUGGUACGCGAGCUGGGUUUAGAACGUCGUGAGACAGUUCGGUCCCUAUCUGCCGUGGGCGCUGGAGAACUGAGGGGGGCUGCUCCUAGUACGAGAGGACCGGAGUGGACGCAUCACUGGUGUUCGGGUUGUCAUGCCAAUGGCACUGCCCGGUAGCUAAAUGCGGAAGAGAUAAGUGCUGAAAGCAUCUAAGCACGAAACUUGCCCCGAGAUGAGUUCUCCCUGACUCCUUGAGAGUCCUGAAGGAACGUUGAAGACGACGACGUUGAUAGGCCGGGUGUGUAAGCGCAGCGAUGCGUUGAGCUAACCGGUACUAAUGAACCGUGAGGCUUAACCUU
rnacentral:rRNA from 1 species